GUCCACGCUGUAAACGAUGGGCACUAGGUGUGGGGGGUGGUCGACUCCCUCCGUGCCGAAGCUAACGCAUUAAGUGCCCCGCCUGGGGAGUACGGCCGCAAGGCUAAAACUCAAAGGAAUUGACGGGGACCCGCACAAGCAGCGGAGCAUGUGGUUUAAUUCGACGCAACGCGAAGAACCUUACCUGGGCUUGACAUGUGCCUGACCGCCCUGGAAACAGGGCUUCCCUUCGGGGCAGGUUCACAGGUGGUGCAUGGCUGUCGU
rnacentral:rRNA from 1 species